AUGCCCUUCUUCCGCCCACCGCCGCCGGUCCCCUGCUUCCACCCACUGCCGCCUGCCCUCUCGUUUCCAUCUGCCGCCGAGGCACCCUGCUUCCACCCGCCGCCACUAGCCCCCGUGCUUCCACCCGCCGUCGGCGGCCCCCUUGCUUCCCCCCGCCGCCACGCCCCCGCCUGCCACAUCCGGCGACAGGCCGCGCCCACCGCCGAACGUGUUCAGCGAUGGCUCCGACGCCCCCACCCUAGCUUGCCCAGUCGUGGACUAUGGUUCCCUCCUGGCUGCCGGCAGAAACGCCGCUCUUGUACCCACGGACGUCGUGCUCCCCGACCUGACGCGGUGCGGCUGCCUCCCCAGCGACCCCUCCAGCCGACGCCAGUGGUCAGAACCGCAAAACUCCCAUCCCCUCUCGAUCUCACAUUCUUGUUGUUGUACUGCUGCUGCCUCUUCUUUGGAAGAGAUCAGUCAUUGUCCCCUGCAGAUGGCAACCUGAACGAUGAAGAGAAUUUGGUUUGCCUCCUGCUGUGUCGGCAGCUCAUGGCCACACCCAUCUACAAUUCAGCAUGGCUUGCCAAGGCAGUCAAGGUUUAUAUGAAGAGGGAGAAUGCCGGCAGCUGGAAUUCUGGGCUGGAAAAUGAGCAAAUAUUAGAGACCUAUUAUGCACAACUCCAAAAAGUCCUGAAACUUCAUGAAGACACUUUUUGGAAUUAA
rnacentral:rRNA from 1 species